rnacentral:rRNA from 1 species
GCUUGCUGGGUGGAUUAGUGGCGAACGGGUGAGUAACACGUGAGUAACCUGCCCUUGACUCUGGGAUAAGCGCUGGAAACGGCGUCUAAUACCGGAUACGACCUGCCCCGGCAUCGGGUGCGGGUGGAAAGUUUUUCGGUCAAGGAUGGACUCGCGGCCUAUCAGGUAGUUGGUGAGGUAAUGGCUCACCAAGCCGACGACGGGUAGCCGGCCUGAGAGGGUGACCGGCCACACUGGGACUGAGACACGGCCCAGACUCCUACGGGAGGCAGCAGUGGGGAAUAUUGCACAAUGGGCGAAAGCCUGAUGCAGCAACGCCGCGUGGGGGAUGACGGCCUUCGGGUUGUAAACCUCUUUUAGUAGGGAAGAAGGGCUUCGGCUUGACGGUACCUGCAGAAAAAGCACCGGCUAACUACGUGCCAGCAGCCGCGGUAAUACGUAGGGUGCAAGCGUUGUCCGGAAUUAUUGGGCGUAAAGAGCUCGUAGGCGGUUUGUCGCGUCUGCUGUGAAAACCCGAGGCUCAACCUCGGGCCUGCAGUGGGUACGGGCAGACUAGAGUGCGGUAGGGGAGAAUGGAAUUCCUGGUGUAGCGGUGGAAUGCGCAGAUAUCAGGAGGAACACCGAUGGCGAAGGCAGUUCUCUGGGCCGUUACUGACGCUGAGGAGCGAAAGCGUGGGGAGCGAACAGGAUUAGAUACCCUGGUAGUCCACG